GUUAUUUAAUACGUUUCUCAGAGUCGAGUUGUUUGGGAAUGCAGCUCUAAAUGGGUGGUAAAUUUCACCUAAUGCUAAAUAUAAGCGAGAGACCGAUAGCGAACAAGUACAGUGAUGGAAAGAUGAAAAGAACUUUGAAAAGAGAGUUAAAUAGUACGUGAAAUUGUUGAAAGGGAAACGAUUGAAGUCAGUCAUGCCGGUGGGAAUCAACUUAGGGGAAACUCUAAGUGCACUUCUUCGCUUGGCAGGUCAACGUCGAUUUUGGAUGUCAUAAAAUGAUUGGGGGAAGGUAGCUCCUUAGGGAGUGUUAUAGCCCUUGGUAGAUGUGAUGUCUGGGAUCGAGGAUUGCAAUGGAUACCCUUUGGGGCUAGCCGCCUGAUCUCUAAUUGGUAUUGGGUUACGGAUAGCAUGCUGACCGUGAUCUAAUUAUUGGUUAAAAGGUCUAGAGCGUGCAUAAA
rnacentral:rRNA from 1 species